rnacentral:rRNA from 1 species
AACGAACGCUGGCGGCAUGCCUAACACAUGCAAGUCGAACGAGACCUUCGGGUCUAGUGGCGCACGGGUGCGUAACGCGUGGGAAUCUGCCCCUGGGUUCGGAAUAACAGUUGGAAACGACUGCUAAUACCGGAUGAUGACGUAAGUCCAAAGAUUUAUCGCCCAAGGAUGAGCCCGCGUAGGAUUAGCUAGUUGGUGAGGUAAAGGCUCACCAAGGCGACGAUCCUUAGCUGGUCUGAGAGGAUGAUCAGCCACACUGGGACUGAGACACGGCCCAGACUCCUACGGGAGGCAGCAGUGGGGAAUAUUGGACAAUGGGCGAAAGCCUGAUCCAGCAAUGCCGCGUGAGUGAUGAAGGCCUUAGGGUUGUAAAGCUCUUUUACCCGGGAUGAUAAUGACAGUACCGGGAGAAUAAGCUCCGGCUAACUCCGUG